rnacentral:lncRNA from 1 species
GUUGGCUGCCUGACUGUGAAGGGGGGAGGAGAUGAAGUCUGAAGAAAUAGUGGAGAAAACUCUGGCUAUGAGGACCUGCUGGGCUAAAAGAGCUGAAAUGAAUCAGAAAUGAAAACAGAGUACUUUGCACCAGAAGAAAGAUGCACUGCAUUUCUACAACAGAAGGACAAAGAAAUUGAGAGCGACAUUCUGAAAAUGUUACCUCAAAAAAAAGCUCCUAUUAAUGCUGGUGGGACUCGUGGAAAGAGCUCUGAAAAGGAAGACAAGAACAACUGUGGUUCAGAGAUGAGCAAUUUGCCCCAUAAUGUGAAGAAAGACCCUGUGUGCUAUGGAUUUCACUGAUGUCAUUGCUCCUGUUCUUGUAAUAAGGUGCUAUUUCAUCCACGAAAUACUGGGAGAAUCUCAUCCACAAGUGAAUCACUCAUACAUGUGCUCUGAGAAGACUGUGGGACCAUUGCAAGCUGCAAAUCUGCAGUGCUGAUUUCUGCUUUUGUAUGAAACAGCCAAUAUCUACGUAGGUCAGACCCAGCUUAAGGGAAACUCAAACUUCACAACGCCUUAAAGGCAUUUGAGAAAUACAGUGUUUCUGAACUUUAAAUGCAGUAAUAUCUCUAAAAUUGGCUCGUCAGUUCUGAAUUCCUUCCAGAAUUAAUAUUUGCGUCAAUCUCUUAUUCCUUAAACUUUACAUCUGUAUUAUGCUGUCCAGUGUCUUGAAUUUCAUCUCUAGAAUUUUUUUACAAUUUGUAGGGACCUUACAUGGAUUCUAAAAGCAGAUACUUUUUGGUUUUACAUGUCACAUGAGUGUAAGGCCAAAUCUACCAUGUAGACUUUCAUGAAUUUUGUGUGAUAAGGUGUGCCCAUCAGUAUUUGAGGUAUGCAGCCUAGGCAAACCUAAUCAAAUCCACAGAAAUUAGUACAUGAGAAAAACUGAAUGUAAGCUGGCAUCAAUUAUUAGUCAAUGGUAAUAAAAUUACUGUAAUAUUUAGAAAUAAAAUUCCU